rnacentral:rRNA from 1 species
GACGAACGCUGGCGGCGUGCUUAACACAUGCAAGUCGAACGGAAAGGCCCUGCUUUUGUGGGGUGCUCGAGUGGCGAACGGGUGAGUAACACGUGAGUAACCUGCACUUGACUUUGGGAUAACUUCAGGAAACUGGGGCUAAUACCGGAUAGGAGCUCCUGCUGCAUGGUGGGGGUUGGAAAGUUUCGGCGGUUGGGGAUGGACUCGCGGCUUAUCAGCUUGUUGGUGGGGUAGUGGCUUACCAAGGCUUUGACGGGUAGCAGGCCUGAGAUGGUGACCGGCCACAUUGGGACUGAGAUACGGCCCAGACUCCUACGGGAGGCAGCAGUGGGGAAUAGUGCACAAUGGGCGGAAGCCUGAUGCAGCAACGCCGCGUGCGGGAUGACGGCCUUCGGUUUGUAAACCGCUUUCGCCUGUGACGAAGCGUGAGUGACGGUAAUGGGUAAAGAAGCACCGGCUAACUACGUG